UGGCUCAAAAUGAACGCUGGCGGCGUGGUUAACCUUUGAAAGUCGAACGGUUUUUAUUGAAGGGCAACCGGACAUAAAAGCAGUGGCAAACGGGUGCGUAACACGUGAACAUUCUACCUUUAAGUGGGGAAUAGCUCGCCAAAAGGCGAAUUAAUACCGCAUGUGGUCGGGACUCGCAUGAGUCUUGAACUAAAGUCAGGGACCGCAAGGCCUGACGCUUAUAGAGGAGUUCGCGGCCUAUCAGCUAGUUGGCGAGGUAACGGCUCACCAAGGCUAAAACGGGUAGCUGGUCUGAGAGGAUGAUCAGCCACACUGGAACUGAGACACGGUCCAAACACCUACGGGUGGCAGCAGUUUCAAAUCAUUCACAAUGGGCGAAAGCCUGAUGGUGCGACGCCGCGUGAGGGAUGAAGGUCUUCGGAUUGUAAACCUCUGUCACCGGGGAAGAAACGCUUCAAGUUAACAGUUUGAAGCCUGACUUAACCCGGAGAGGAAGCAGUGGCUAACUCUGUG
rnacentral:rRNA from 1 species